rnacentral:rRNA from 1 species
AGCUCUAAUAGCGUAUAUUAUUGAUGUUGCAGUUGAAACGUUCGUAGUCGAACUUUAUCUGCUCAGGUGUCGUGAAUACUAUGUAUUCUGAUACUUUUAGCAGAGAUAGUGUAAGAGGUGUUAUGCACGCUUCGUGUAUAAUAGCUUUUGCAUCUUACUUUGAGUGAAUCGGCGUGUUCCACGCAGGCAUGUGCCUUGAACGAUUUACCAUAGCAUAAUCAGAGUAUGAGAAUACUUCUUUGUUUGUUCAGAAGUGUUUUCGAUACUAAUAAGAACGGUUGAGGGCAUUCGUAUUCAACUGCUAGAGGUGAAAUUCUUUGAUUAGUUGAGGACGAACUAUUGCGAAAGCAUCUGCCAAGGACGUUUCUUUUG